rnacentral:pre_miRNA from 1 species
UGGACAGAUUAUUGUAUUCGACUGUAUUUGACUCUAUUCACGGCGUGAAACAGGGGAUUACACUAUUUUUAAACGUAAAGUAAAUCAAUUAACAUAAUAGAUUUCU